GAUGAAGAACGUAGCGAAAUGCGAUAAGUAAUGUGAAUUGCAGAAUUCAGUGAAUCAUCGAAUCUUUGAACGCACCUUGCGCCUUUUGGUAUUCCGAAAGGCACACCUGUUUGAGCGUCAUGAAUACCUCAAUCUCCAUCUUUUCUUCGGAUUGAUGGGUGACUUGGAUGUUGAGCCCUGCUGGUAUGCUAUAUCAGCUGGCUUUAAACUUAUUAGCCGGCUCUGUACUGGAUCGGUUUGACUCGACGUGAUAAUAUUAUCGUUGAGGAUGCAUGUCUCAUGCAGCCGGAAAGUAUCAACGCAGCUUCUAGCUUGCCUUUAGUGCACUUUUACAUUUUAGACCUCAGAUCAGGUGGGACUACCCGCUGAACUUAAGCAUAUCAAUAAGCGGAGGA
rnacentral:misc_RNA from 1 species